CCUCAAGACCUGGAGUACAGAGGGAAGGUGGAUACCUUUUCAUUUCAAGAAGAAAUUGUUCAAAUUUUUUGUCUCUCAUCAUUAGUAGCUUUUUAUUCAUCAAACAAGAAACUUCGCUAUGGAAGUUGAUAUCUAAUUUUCUAAUGCCUUGGGUAAAAUUGUCCAUGAAAACCUGAAAGUCCCUUCCAAGUUGGACAGUGGUAAACAGCUGAAAAUUGAUAUAAUUCCCAACUCUCAGGAGCAUACCCUGACUUUGGUGGUCAGAGGCACACUGAUAUGACCCCAAGGGUGACCUCACUGGGAGCCAUUAAUAAGACUAGCACAAAAGGACUCUUUGAAGCUCUCUGGGCUGUCACAAACAUCUCAGUUAUUGGGCAGUAUGAUAUAGGAUUCUAUUAUGCUUAUCUGGUGGCAGUGAAAGUGGUUAUGAUUAUAAAGCACAAUGAUGAUCAAUAUGCAGGUGAGUCUUCUAUUGGAACAUUAUUCACAGUGUGUGGAGACCAUGAUAAUCUCAUUGGUCCAGGGUACCAAAGUGAUCCUUCAUCUCAAAGAUGAACAGAAAAGGUCCUUAAAGGAGAGGAGGGCACGGAAGUAUUUUUUAAAAAUUCAUAUUUCAUAGGCUAUCACAUCACCCUCUAAUUGUAGAUGGAAUAAGAAAAGGAGAUAUUUGAUGAAGAAACAGAGGAAGAUAAAGGUGAGAAAGAAAAGGAAGGUAAAUAAGAUGAUAUGAAGCCUAAGAUUUAAAAUGUGGGAUCAGAUGAGGAGAAUGAUAGUGGCAUGAUUAAGAAAAAUAAUUCCAAGAAUAUUAAAGAAAUAUACAUUGAUCAGAGUGAAAUAAGACUAAGGACACUUGUUCUGGAAACACUGAUGACAUCAUUGAUGAGUAAUAUGGUGAAAGUUAAAAUAGCCUCUUCAAUGACAGGAAAGACCACGUGACAAUCACUUUUAAAUAUAAGUUCAAUUAAAAUUCAGGGUGCCGCUCUUCUUUGAGAAUGAAAAGAAUAUCAAACUCUAUGUAUGUUGUACGUUCAUCAUGGACAGCUGUGAUGAGCUGAAACCUGAAUGUAUCCACUUUAUCCAUGGCAUAGAUGACUGUGAGGAUAUGUCUCAAACAUCUUCCAAUCAUGAAAAUAACACAAGACAAGGCAAAGAACCAAAAACCCAAAAACAUUGUGAAGAAGUACCUUUAUUUCUUUUCUGAUUUACCAGAAGACACAAAUAGUUACAACACAUUCUAUGAGGUAUUCUUCAAGAAUUUAAAGUUUGGAAUCCACAAAGAUUCCACUAACUGGCUGUACCUCUCUGAGCUCCUUCAUUACCAUAACUCUCAGUGUGAAAGUGAGGUACUUUCUUUGUGAAGUAUGUAUCUUACAUGAAGGAGAAACAAGUACAUAUGUAUCAUUGUUGAGAGCCUAGACCAAGAGGCCUUCUCUGUCUUUGUAGAACAUGUGGUGAAGCAGAGACUUGAGGAAGUGGUUGUGAUUGAGUUUAUUGGCAAGCACUACUUGCAGCAGCUCACUGAGUUUUAUGGAAAGAGUCUCGUCUUGCUCAGGCUAUGAAAAGAUGAUGAAGAGAAGAGAAAAAUCAAGAAGAAUAAGGUAAAAAUUGAGAAUUUGUAAGGAUUCAUCAAAGAGAUCUUGGAUAAUAAAGUUGAUCAGAAGACAAUCACCCUGAUGCACUCUGACAAGCACCAAUCGUUAGACCAUAUAUGGAGCAGAUUAUGAAGGCUCAGACACUUCCAGACAAUUCCACAAUGGGUACAUAAUGGCCACAAAAGCUCCUAGGGAUCAGUCUUGACCACCUCAUUGUGGAAACCCUAUAGCAUUUAGUUGAGGUUAUUUUUCAAAGAUCUGGUGGUGAUGUUAUUUGAAACUACUGUGCUCUCUGGUUUCCCCCUGGAGGAUCUCAAUACCCACUCCAAAUGUAUUUACAUGACAGCAGAGGAGCCCAUGGCUACUGUUAUUGAUGAGGUAUCACCACUUGAGAGUGAAGAGAAUGUCUAAUAGAAGUAGAUUAG
rnacentral:lncRNA from 1 species